GACGGGGGAUGCAAGCGUUAUGCGGAAUCACUGGGCGUAAAGCGUCUGUAGGUGGUGAUGCAAGUCACUGGUGCAAAACUCUGGCUCAACCGGAGGAAAGCCAGUGAAACUGCAUGACUAGAGUGUGGGAGAGGUAGAAGGAAUUCCCUGAGUAGCGGUGAAAUGCGUAGAUACAGGGAAGAACACCGGAGGCGAAAGCGUUCUACUGGAACACAACUGACACUGAGAGGCGAAAGCUAGGGGAGCGCAUGGG
rnacentral:rRNA from 1 species